UGGGGAAUAUUGCACAAUGGGGGAAACCCUGAUGCACCGACGCCGCGUGAGCGAAGAAGGUUUUCGAAUCGUAAAGCUCUGUCCUAUGAGAAGAUAAUGACGGUAUCAUAGGAGGAAGCCCCGGCUAAAUACGUGCCAGCAGCCGCGGUAAUACGUAUGGGGCGAGCGUUGUCCGGAAUUAUUGGGCGUAAAGGGUACGUAGGCGGUCUAUUAAGUCAGGUGUGAAAGCGUGAGGCUUAACCUCAUUAAGCACUUGAAACUGAUAGACUUGAGUGAAGGAGAGGAAAGUGGAAUUCCUAGUGUAGCGGUGAAAUGCGUAGAUAUUAGGAGGAAUACCGGUGGCGAAGGCGACUUUCUGGACUUUUACUGACGCUCAGGUACGAAAGCGUGGGGAGCAAACAGG
rnacentral:rRNA from 1 species